GACCCGCCAGGGGCGGGCAGGGCUGCGGGCUUCCGGCUGCCCCAGCGCGCGGAGGUGGGGGUCGCUGGCCCGCGGGAGAGGACCCUGAGCUCCUCCCGGCCGGGGGCGUCCGGAGUCGGCCAGCCGAGCCUGACGGGUCUCCCGCCAUUUGAGAUGCCGAACGGGCACGCAGCCUGCACGUAGGGCGCUACCAGGCGCCCCAGGGUUUUGAUCGAGCCUGACUCUAGCUUUUACCUGAACGAGCCCUCCUCCGCCAGAAGAUGCCCCCGGGCGAGGGAAGAACCGGUAGGGGAGCGAAAAGGGCUUUGGCGUGGGAAGAGUAGAGACUGAAUUCCUUAGGAUUUGCCGGCUCUGGGACUUUGGGUACGUUAUCUGUUUUCUUAGACUAUUUCAUCCUUUAUUUAAAAAAACCCAAAACAUUGUGGAGCCUUCUGGACAAGGAUGAAGAUGCCAAGUGGAGUGUUGUGAGGGCGCGUCAACCGGCCGAGGAUUGUGAUUUCCAUAUUUUAAACGCGAGUCCAGACAUCGUGCUCCUCCCCACUAAGGUCACUCGGAAGCCCUUGAGAGCCCCGGACCAGAGUCCAGUUGCCAUGACGCUGCUGCAUCAUGAUUCCGGUCUGGCUGAGCUCUGACCUCUGCGACAGAGAAUGGGCAUCUCCGUCUACUGUAGAAGCCCUCAGGAGAAUUCAGUGGAGGACAUGCCUGACACUGAAAAAUCCCUCAUAAAAUGCCACUGUACCAGAUCAGAAUAAAGGGUGCAGUUUCUCAGGCUUCCAGGACAGCUGCCUUCAUUCAGCCUUGGGUUUGGCGAAACGGAGACAGAGGCAGGAGACUGGAAGGUAGGAGGCAGGAAAAAGCCAGGUUAUUUCUCUUGCCCGUGGUUCCAACUUCUCAAGGAUGACCCUCUCCCCCACUCUCCAUUAAUUCCACCCCCUCCGUUUGUCCCUCCAGUUUAGGAGUGUGGGCAGCUUGUAUUUGCUAAUCUUUGGGUCGCCUCAUUGUCCCCUGUUGGGUUUCUCAGCCCUUCCGUCACCCCUGUCUUUGUGUCAGCAAUACGGGGCACUGGAUUUUCUGGUUUACAUACUUAAGGUGGUUCCUGUUUGCCUGCUUGGACCUUGAGUGAUACACCCAAUGUUACACCAGGCACUUUGUAGACAUUAUUUCUUAGACCUCACAAGUCUUAUGUGGUAGAUUGUAUUGUUCCCAUUUUACCUAGCAGGAAGUUGAGCCUUACAGGGUUUUAUUACUUGCCCAAGUUAAUCAGCAUGAAUCCUAUUUCAUCAAAUCUAGCAUGAGCAUUUCCCCCUGCAUUUUAACAUCUUACAGUACUUUUUUCUCUAAUGGACACCAGUGUGAAGUUUUAGGACUAUCAAGAAAGUAUAAGAUGGCCCUUCUGAUAUUCGGAUAGUGAUGAUUCCAGCAGAACGUAAACCAUUGCUAUUUUAAGAAGAAGAGGAAGAAACAGGCCCCAAAUGGAGCCAUUUGCCCUCAGGACAGCAAAUCAAGGCUUACUUGCAGUUUCAUCCUUUCCCAGGAAUGUGAUCUAUAAAUAGAAAAUCUGAAAUUUGCUGAUCAGUACUAGUCAGGUAAUCUGCAUAAAAGACCCCUUCUGUCCCCUUUUCCCUGAAAAGAAGAUAACCUAGACUGGAAAAGUUCUUUCUUUGCUAAUAAUUUCCCCACUCACCCCUCCUUCCUUUUGUAAGACCCUUCCUUUUUGUACAGUUCCUUGGAGCACUUUUCUGUUCCCUAGAUGGGAUGCUGAAUCUUUAGAUAAAGCCAAUUAAAUAUUCAAAUUUA